CCCCGUGGCUGGGGGUCAUGUGGGUGCCCCCCGGGUCCCCUGGGUGUCCCUGAGGUCCCAUGGGUGCCCCCCAUAUUGGGGGUUCUCUGGGUGUCCCCCCCCGUUCCCUGGGUGCCCCGGUCUCCCGUGGGUUCCCCAGGGGUUGUGGGUCCCUUCCACUUGUCACCGAGGGCUCCUGAGCUCCUCCGGGGGGGUCCCGGAGCUUGGGAGUGUCUUGGAGGAUGGGGGUCCCCCGGUUCCCCCCCUGACCCCAGGUCCUCGAAGGGUGCCACAAAGGAUGGGGGACCCCGCGGGCGUCCCGGGGGUUGGGAGUCCCCUGGGUGCUCCCCGGGCUGGGGGUCGUCCGGGUGCCCCUGAUGUCCCCUGGGUGUCCCAUAGGAUGGGGGUCCACCCGCUGAGGACUCCCCGCGGCGCAGACCCCCGGGGCUGAGCCGGGCCUUCCUCCCGCAGCCGCCGGCCUCUACUACCUGGCAGAGCUGGUGGAGGAGUACACGGUUGUCACCAGGAGGAUCAUCAAAUACAUGAUCUGGGUGAGUGCGGGGGCUGCAGCCCGUCCCCCUCCCCCCCCACCCCCUUCCCCAGUGGCUGCGGGGCUGGGACGUGGGGUGACACUGCUGUGCUCCUCAGUGGGGGCUGGGACGUGGGGUGGCACUGCUGUCCCACAUCUGGGCGGGCUGGGACGUGGGAUGGCACCGCUGUGCCCCUCCUGGGGGGCUGGAACGUGGGGUGACACUGCUGUCCCACAUCUGGGGUGGCUGGGACGUGGGGUGGCCCCACUGUGCCCCUCCUGGGGGGCUGGGAUGUGGGGUGGCCCUGCUGUGCCCCUCCUGGGGGGCUGGGACGUGGGGUGGUAUCACCAUGGCCCUCCUGGGAGGCUGGCAUGUGGACUGCCACUGCUGUCCCCCCCCCACGGGGUUGGGGGGUGUCCCAGCAGAGGCCACUGCCGCUGCAGGAGGUGCAGGACCCCUGGGGGGGUGACCCUGGUGGUGGCAGCAGCGUCCUCGCCGCGAGCACAGCUCACGA
rnacentral:lncRNA from 1 species